rnacentral:lncRNA from 1 species
AGUCCCACAAACUGUGAGCUAAAGAAGCCUCUUAUAAGCUACACUGCCUCGGACGUCUUGUUACAGUAACAGAAGGGGUUCAAUCAGAGGCUCUAAGAGGGAGGUGGUCUUGAAGUGAAAUGACAAUGAACAAAGAAUAGGUACCAAGCAAGAUGUGCAGGCGGGAGAGAUAGAUGCUGAGUGGUUAAGAGCACAGACUGCUCUUUGCAGAGGACCUGAGUUCAGUCCCCCUACCAGAGCGGCUUUAUUUUCUACCCUCCAUGACCGUGACUGCCAGCUACUAGCCCAUCAAAACGCCAAUCAUUAGCCAAUCAUUAGGAUGAGUGUGUGACCCGCCAAUCCCAAGCAAGGAAGAUGCCAUAACAUUGCUGGUGAAAGAUUAGGCAACUCUUCCACUAGCCAAACUCGCUCCUCUUCCUGCACGAAAAAUAAGCCUCUAGCUGGAGCCAUGUGUGUCUGGAUCCACUCUUAGCUGGGCCUCCUGGGUGCUGUGGAUCCUGUAUGAGACACGUCAUACAUCACUCAUGGUUCCAAGAAGCUCCUGGUUGAAUGGAAGAGAAGGGUGCAGGGGCUUCCCCUGUAGGCUUCUGGUCUCUUGUGCACGCAUGAUACGUAACAGAGACUAAGACCCACCAGAUCCAUGCUACAUGUGGUGUGCAAAAGAUGUCUCAACUGGAACAGAGAAUACUGGAGAUAUAACACAUAGACCCAACCAACCAGCAAGCACACAAAAAUCUUCCAGGGUCAGGAUAUUCCUCUUUGUUGUACAAGAGCUUCAAAGCACAAUGGAAUAUCCUUUCACCCCCUCUGUCACAAGGCGGCUACAAAGAAGAUGAGCACUUUCUUAUAUGACCACACUCACACACUUCAAGUACCUUUUCCCCAAGUGCUUCAUAAAUAAAGCCUUCUGCAGGCAUUUUGAAGCCAA